GUCGUCAAAUGUUCCCAGCCAUAGCCGGGCACCUUGCCGAGACGGUUUAAUGCCAAAUGAUUAUCUGAAUGUGUCAAACAUUAUUCUUCACUUUUCAUCAUCAUCUAGAUGGUAUAGGCGAGGAUGAAAAAGGGGAAGCAAUUGUCUUGCCAACACGGUACCCGUGGGAAGGAAGUGACCGAGAUUACGAGUAUGAGGAGGUUACAUAGUCUAACAUCGUCGGCAACUUCUACAAUUAUCCCAACAACGCACAACCACAGAGGAGUUUUUGUACCUGGAUUAAGGGAUCGAAUGUGAUCUGAGAGGGUUUAAGUGCAGCGGCCACAGAGACCUCUAGAGAGGAAAGGAAGCCAAUUGGAGAGAAAUUCCGACGCGAUUCGCAGGUCGGUGGCGUUGUAGUUCAGGAGGAACGGGUCAUCCGUUCAAGUUCGUUGGCCGUUCAUGGCGUUUUCUCUAACCAAAAAAUCAGAGAAUCGGUGGUGGUCCGGUAGAUUACAGAGAAUGGAGGGAACAAACUCUUCAUAAUUUGUGAGAUCCCCAAUCAUAUUGGAGAAUACGAAGGCAGAUUCAUUAUUUUAUUUAUUUUUUUAUUUUUUAUAUUGAUGAAAAAAACUACCGGUUUUGAUCCAAUUAUAUCAGAGGUGGCUGGUGCAGCGAUGGUGAUGGCGGCAUAGCGGCGAUGGGCUGCAGAGAAGACCGGUUCGGCCUGCUGGUGCAGCGAUGGCGAUGGCGAUGGCGGCAUAGGCCGGAGAGGACUGGUUCGGCCUACUGGCGCAGCGAUGGCGAUGGUGGCAUGGGCCGGUGAUGAGUUGUGGAGAGGUCAGUUGUGACCUUGCGGCGCAGCACUGGCGGGAAGGAGAACUCGGCUUUGAGCUUCUUGGUGGUUUUUACCUCAUUACGUGGCAGAAAAGUUAAAAUGAAUAAAUAAAUAAUAAUAUUCAUUAGUAUUCGAGGGUAAUUUCGGAAUUAAAAGAAAAAAACAGUCACGUGCUGAUCAUGUGGGCCGAAAAGUGGUCGGAAUUGAGUUUUACGGGUUAAUUUGCACAAUUUGUAAUAGUUAUGGCAUUAACUUGUUCAUUUUUGUAGUUCAAGGGAGUAAAAUGCGAAUUUGUGAUU